AAAAUAUGAAGCAAAUUAUGCAAUUAGUUUCGACCUAAUCUAUGGUAUUUAUUUACCCUUAUUUA
rnacentral:tRNA from 1 species